rnacentral:rRNA from 1 species
GGAUUAGAUACCCUGGUAGUCCACGCCGUAAACGAUGUCAACUAGACGUUGGGCUCCUUGAGAGCUUAGUGUCGCAGCUAACGCGUUAAGUUGACCGCCUGGGGAGUACGGCCGCAAGGUUGAAACUCAAAGGAAUUGACGGGGGCCCGCACAAGCGGUGGAGCAUGUGGUUUAAUUCGAUGCAACGCGAAGAACCUUACCAGCUCUUGACAUUCUGUGAACUUUCUAGAGAUAGAUCGGUGCCUUCGGGAACACAGUAACAGGUGCUGCAUGGCUGUCGUCAGCUCGUGCCG